rnacentral:rRNA from 1 species
AAUUAACCAAGACAAGCCCACUAACAACUUGUCCGCCAGAGAAUUACGGGCGAAAGCCUAAAACUCAAAAGACUUGACGGUGUCCCAAUUCUACCUAGAGGAGCCUGUUUCAUAAUCGAUAACCCCCGCUCAACCUGACCGUCCCUCGCACAACCCCCCAGCCUAUAUACCGCCGUCUUUUUCCUGCUUACCUUUUGAAAGAAAUUAUAGUAAGCCCAAUAGUUUUAUAACUAAAAAGUCAGGUCAAGGUGUAGCUUAUGGGGCGGAGAAAAUGGGCUACAUUUUCUAUUAAAGAACACCACGGAAAAUACUCUGAAAUAAAGUACUCAAAGGUGGAUUUAGCAGUAAGCCAAACCAGAGUGUUUGACUAAAACAAGCUCUGGGACAUG